UUAAUAAAUAAAAAAACAACAACAACAAAUCAAAAGAAGAGAGAGAGAGAGAGAGAGGCAUAAAAUGCAAUCGCUGGAAAUUCCUGAAUGUAAGACACUUUAUAUGGAAGGGCCGCCGACAGGUGAGUGCAAUGAAUAUGAUAUUUGCAUUGAAUAUGUUAUAUGAUAUAUAUGUAUGUAUGCGUGUAUGUAUGUAUAUAUGCAUAUGAUAUGAUAUAUCAGCGAGAUAUGAGACAGUGAAUGGGCGCAGCAAAUCGACUGAUUGAAACUUGUAGACGGGUUUAAUCUAAGGGGAUUUAUCGGGAAUUCAUAUCUGUAUGAAGUGUAGUAAAUGGGUUUAUGAACGAAAUAUAUGGUAUAUUGAAUGGAAUGGAAUAGUACGUAUAGCGUUACAAUAAAAUAAUAAUAAUAAUAAAAAAAAAUAAUAAUAAUAAAUGGCAGGGAAAGCGAUAACUGAAUAAAAAUACAAGUAAACCUCUCUUGAGAGUAAAUAUAUUGGAAUAGGUUUACUAAUAAAUAAUAUUAUUUAUAAAGUAAUUAGUCUCGAAAGUCAGAAAUAAAUAAUAUUAUUUAUAAAGUAAUUAGUCUCGAAAGUCCGAAUUUACUUAGUUAAAUAAAUAGAGAAUCCUAGAAUUUAAAUAAAAUAUAUAGUUUCCGUUAUUUUACAUAAUUUGUAGUUUCAGUUUAUCGUAUAUAUCAUUUUAGAACUCUGUUUGUAGAACUGAAUAAUAUAUGAUAGCUCAAAGAUUCUUCUAACUAUAAAGUCACUAUUCUUCCAGUUUUCCCAAAUAUAUAUCUUCUUUACAUUAACAUAUUAUAUUUGCAACUUCAACUCAGCUCUUUGAAGCUUCUUCUGCAGCCAAAUAUUUUCUAUAAAGUUCGAAAAUCCCUUUUCGCAAUAUCCACUUUGAGGUCAGAGAAUGAAGUAAGCAUGAAUUUUGCUUCUGCCUGAUCAUUUAGUACGCUUCUUCGCCCAUUGUUUGGGUCUAAUAAUAAAUGGUGUUAAAUAGUUUGGCUCGACGGGUAGCUCAGAUUUUGAUGAGCAUUCCAGUCCCGCAGAGCCCCUCUAGUAGCCUCUUCUAAUAGCCCCCUUCGAGCACGAUGAUUUGCACCUUUUUGGCAAGUCGAAACUAAUUUUGAGUUUUUUCCUCCAACUUUUCUUUUUUUUUUUUUUUUUUGCUACACUCUUAUCAGCGCAAAUAGACAAUUUAAAAGAUAGAGAGAAGAGCAUGGGAACGAGUGUGAGCAAGAGUGUGUAGUGGGGCGGGGGCGGGUAGCGGUCAGGAGCGUACUUGCGAGGGGCUCUUAUCAGCGUCUGCCUGCAAAAUGACAAUUUUAUUUGGCGCGCAUUUCGCUGCCUACCCCCACCAGCGCCCCCAUUGACCCUGCUACCCUCGCCCCUGGGUCGCUUUUCGCGCAAUUGCAUUUGCUGAUAAGCAAAUUAGCUUGCCAACUGGCCUAGUAAUUGAGUUUGCGGGAAGAGACAGGUACAUGUGUAAGGUAAAUGUGAGCAUGUGUGUGUGUGUGUGUGGUGGGGGCGUUAACCAGCCGAGCAAACUUCUAAGCAGCCGCCGAUUGAGCAAAGCUUUUUUUUGCCAAAAGCGGUUCUCACAUUUGUCAUGGCAGAAGGAGGAGUGUGGGAGGCUAGAAAGGGGGAGUUCAUAAUAAAGAAAAGUGGCCGCAAAGAGUGCUUAAAAAAUGGAAAUAGAUGAGUGUGCCAAGAGCAGAGCGGAGGCUGGGCAGGGUCGCAGGUGAACACAAAAAAAAAGGAACGACGCUGAAUAAAAAGAAGAAAAUGAAAUAGAAACAUGAGAGCAAAAAAUGAACUAAAGAAUUUCUACUUAUAACGAGUUUUUAUUACAAACGCGCGAAAGCGGCACAAAAAAAAUAAUAAAAUAAAAUAAAAGAAAGAACGGACUGCUUCUCAAACCGUUAGCCGAAAAUGUAUUAAAAAAGAAGUAAAAAUAAGUAAGCAAAAAAAAAAAAAAAUAAAAAAAAUAAAAAUACAGACUGAAUCUAACAAAAUUCCAAAAGGAGUGCCUGGGCCAAAGGGAAGAGCGAGGGAGCGACGGGAGUAGGCAGAGUGGGAGAGUGCACAUAAAAAGUAACAGCAUUUUUGCCUAGCAGACAAAUGCACAGACAGACGCAGAGACGGACGAACUGGCAGAUGAAGAACAAGACUGCGAAAGCAUGAAGCAACAUUAUUCAAAAGAAAGCCAAGUUAAGGCAUGCCGAGCACUCACUCACACACACACACACUCAAAGAGAGAGGCAGAGUCAGAGAGGAACGGAGAGAGAGAGAGAUAGAGACAGAGAAAGAGGCGAAGAGAGAGCAGACAGACAAAAGCAGCAUAAUGCAGCAGAGAAGUGCAUGAGACAGGCACAGUUACAACAACAAUGGCGGAUCGCAGCUAGCAUUAAACAUCAAGUAGCAGCAGCAGAAGCAGCAGCAGCGACAGUGGCAGUGGCAGUGGCAGCGACAGCGGCGCCGACAGUAACGGCGACGUCAGCAGCGAAUGUAAGCGUUACAACAACAAACACAUGCCGACAUUCUUUCAUUCGUACAACGACCUCGACUUUGAUUUGCAGUUAAACGGCCAGAGCCAAGUAAUUUUCGCAAGCGUGAGAGAAUUAUUUUCGCGAGAGAGCAAGAAGCAAGGCAAACAGAUGUCAGCCCCAAACGGCCUCUAGACGACCUACACGCGUGAGCGAGAGCGCGCGUGAGAGAACGGCAAAUAUGCGCUCGGCUCGAGUCGGCUUUCGUAUGGCGUCGUAGCGCCAUCGUGUUUUGGCAUUCGUGUCUCGUCGCCGCUUCUGCUGCCUCUGCUCCCGUUGUCGGCGGCGGCGACAGCGACAGCGACUGAGGCUGCUGUAUGCUAUGCCAAGUCGUUUGUUCGUCAACUCCAUUCAUUCGUAUUGCGCGUCUCGUCUGUGCCGGUCGUCCAAAGCUGCUCAGGUCUUACAGAUUGUGCUUCAUUUGUCAUCGAACACACAGACACUCACACACAUACACGCAGCCACAGACACUUCAUAGAAUCAUACAGUUAGGUAGACAGUGUUCAGCAACAAAGACAAAACAGUGCUUUAAAGUGCCGAAGUGAACAUUCGCAGCAAUCAAAUCGAAUACAACACAAAAAGCAAACGCGUUAUUCAUGCAAAAUAAAAUCAAAUCAAAUGAAAUAAUACAAAAUAAACUUGACUAUCGCCAGACACAGACACACGCAUACACUCAAAUGUGAAGAGAGACAACAAAACAGCAGCAGGUCGGCCAGACAACUCACAAACACACAAACAUAUACAGCUAGCAGUUAGCAGCUACAGUUAUCAAAUGCGGCCGCCGCCGGCCUGUCAACUUGUCCAGACAGCGAGAGCGAGAGCGAGAGAGAACGAUACAGAGAGGGAGAGAUGGGGGGAGAGAGAGCGACAGCGAGAGUGUGUGGGCUAGAGCGAGCGAGCGAGAGCGGGCCUAUAAAUUUCAUAUGUGCAAUGUUUGUGCCUGGCUGCUGUGCUGUGCGUUGUAUCAGCUAACCGGAUGUUGAUUUGUUGGCCGCAACAAACACAAAACAUGGUCCAAGCCAAGCAGCAGCCAUCUUAACACUCACACCCAUGCCCACACACACACACUCAUAGAGAGAGAAAGAGAGGCAUACGCACUCCCUCGCUGGUACAUUUGCAACACUGGCGCUGCCUUUAAGCACGAUGAAAAAGAAUGCAAAAUGAUGCUAGAUAAAAGACUUGCAACACGCUUGAAUGAGGCCAGAAAACAAAGCCAAACAAGAGUGCAUAUUCACAUACUCUCUAUACACCCCUCAUAUACUCUCUCUCUCUCUAUCAACUCUAUAUUCUAUAUAUAGGCAGCCAUGGAACGGACAAGCACAGCUUUAAAUAGAAACUAGAAGACUGACAGCGCUAGAUCCAGGCAAAUUGAUCUGGCUACGAGCUGACGAAACAGUUUCCCAACAAUAAGCCACACAUGCUUGUAAAUGAGAGGCCAAAAAUGUAUUCCAAGUGCCCGGGGCAAAGGAGAGGGGACACGGGACACGGGACACGGCACGCAGGAUGCAGGAUGAAGGACGAAGGACGAAAGACGGCAUGCGUUCUCUAGCACACACUUCCGGCACGAGCUCGUCAGACUUGACUUGACUUGAGACUUCAGAAAACUUGGCUACUCUCGCUCUAUCUCUCUUUUUCGCUUUAGAGCGGGGGCGUGGCAGCAGCCCCAGAUGUCUCAGACACGCACAGCCCAGCGCGAUUUAUGAUUCAGGUAAAUAUUUAUGUAGAUUAUAAAUAUUCUUUAUUAUAGCACUUAAUUGCUCUGUUCACACCACGCUUGCUCCAAGAGAAUAUUAGACCGAAAGAAACUUUUUUAUACAUAGCAGAAAUAUGAACAUUAUAUUGUGUUAGCAGUGAAUACAGCAAAUUAAUUACAGCAAAUAUAUUCUGUAUGUAAACUUAAGCAAAAGCUUAUUUUAUGCGUUUUCUAUAAAACCUUGUUUUGAAUUUAAAUUAAAAAUAGAGUAAAUUUAUUAUCGCUGUUAUAUAUAAAAUCAAGGGAGUUUACGCGUCUUAAAUAAAUCUUUAAAUCGUUUUACUUACUACAGAAGUUACCUAAUGUAGGUUUUUACUCGAUUAAUUUACAUAUUUCUGGCUCUACCGAAUAUAGUAGACAUUAAACUAGAUACAGCCAACUAACUUUAUUUAUUACUAAUACCAUCGGCCGUCGGAAGAGCUCUUUCAAUAAUUUCGCAUAUCCAUCAUCUACUCAACCUCCCAAUAAUUUCUGAAUUUCUUAAUACAAUAAAUUUUCAAUUUAUGUAAAAUAUAUUCAGGAAGUAUUUACCUUCAAUCAGAAUAUAUAUGUAUGUAUGGUACGUCUCAUAAAGUAUAUUAUCACAUCACUUAAACUACUACUGCUGCAGUCUUAAUUAGCUAUGAAUAUAUCGCGCUCUGCCAUUCAGCGUGGGUAUUUCCACUGCCACAGUUCUCAGCCAGUUUAGCCCCGUACAACAUUUAUUUUAUAUAUAUAUAUAUAUUAUUUACUCUCUCGCUUUUUUUCAAAAAGUUUCUUAACUUUUAGUGGCUUUUGGCAAGUGCUCGCAAUUAAAUUUAAUUAGUUUAACUUAAAACUGCAAAAACUAAUUGCUCGAUGCGUGCGCGUCUCAAAUCUUUUCCAUUUAAUUUGCUUUUUAUGACGAGUUGUCGCUGCUGCCUCCGUUGUUGUUUCCACAGAAUUUUUUACGAGUGCCAAACGUGCGAAACUUUAGUUACAGCACAAAAAAUAAGCGCACAUUUAACUAGCAGUUUAUGCGAGGAGAAGGGGAGGAAGAGGGGGACCAGAGACUGUGGCAAGUCGAAGCUACGGAAUGAUUUGCCACUAAUUGGCCAGAUAAGCGCUUUUUAGACAUGUUUUAAUUGGCCACACUAGCUGUUAACUGUAAAUUGUGGCACACGCACACAUAUACAUUCGUCAGGUGUGUGUGGCAAGCAGCUCUAAUCAGCUGCAGUUAGCCCC